AGUCGUACUACCAUGGAAGUCUUUCGCAGAGAGAUAUGGUAGAUGGGCUAGAAGAGCAUGACAUAUACUGUUGUGUCGAUAUUUUCUCCUCGGACCUUGAAAAUUUAUGGUGGGGAUACGCAAACUUCUCAACAGGCCGUACCAAUAUCCGCAGCUGGUCUCCAAGGUGAAGAGUCUCUAGUCGAUAGAAUAAUGUAGGUAAGGGAAGUCGGCAAAUUAGAUCCGUAACUUCAGCAACGUUCGCACACAAAACGCACUUUAAUUUGUCUUAAAAGGCAGCUUAUUUCGGCUGAUAUUAAUUUUUUCACCGGAGCGCACAGAAAACACGUCCGUUCGGUUCGGUAGAUAGGGACAGGUGUAUGUCUCGGAUCUCUCCGAUCUUGUUUAACGUGGCGUGUUCCACACUGAAGGGAUUACAACCACGGCACUCGAAUAUACCUACGAGUAGGCAUAUAGUGCAUGGGCACGGAUGGUACGCCUGCCAACGCCCCGGAAUAGAAGCUAUAGCAAAUACAUAGCAACUAGCCCGGU
rnacentral:ncRNA from 1 species